GAGCUUGCUGGGCACGGCAGUUCAUGACAGCCCGCUCUGGCUGUCCACAAGUGACGCCUUAUUUUCCCAUCGCCGAUACCCACAUUCUGGGGUGUGUGAAGAAAAUGAAACCAGGUGACCAAAACUAGGAACCUCGUGACUGAAAGAAAGAACAGCAAAAGGAAGGAAUUGACUGAAUGAGAUGAGGAUGAGAGGAAGAGUGUUGUACGUUGAGGAUAAUGAAGAUAAUGGUGGUGAAGGAAUUAAUUGUGAAAGGAUAAUGGUCAGAAAAAAAAACAAACAAAACAAAAAAAAUGAUAAUGAUGAUGUGGGUGAAGAUGGUGAUGAAAAGAAGUGUGAUUGUGAAGUGAGUGAGUGAAAUGGAUUUUGAUUUUGAAUUUUUGAUGGAGAAUAGUGAAUGAAAAUGGUGACGACUGAUCAUUAAUAGAAAAAGAAAAGAAAAUGGAUGACUAAAAGUAGUAGGAAUGGGUGAUGGAAUGAUGGGUGUAAAUGAAAUGGGCUUGAAUAGUGACGAUGAAUGACAGAGAAUGAAAUAAGGAAGGAAAAAAAAUGGUGAAGGAAUAAUUACGAAGGAAACGAGAAAAGAAAGAGAAAAGAAAAAAAAAUACGAGAACGACAGUGAAAUAGAGAAUAUGGAUAAUUUUACUUGGAAGAAUUAUGAAAGAAGGAAGAAAGGAAGAAAGAAAUGCGCAACAAAAGAAUCAAUAGAAGAAAUAAAAACAUCGUAGAAGGGAGAACAAAAUCAUUGAUAACUGAGUGAAGGAUGACAGGAAGAAAAGAAAGAAGAAAAGAAGGAAGAAAGUAAGGAAGGAAGGAAAGAAGGAAAGGAUGAAGGAAGGAAGGAAGGAAGAAAAUUAUGAAGGGGAAAAAGUAGACAAUAGUAAAACACACACGAGGGAGAAAGUUAGAAUAAGUGAAGGUAAAAAGAAACCUCCUUGUAAACUGCCACUUAUAACUACCUUCCUAACUGCCCCGUGACUACCUUCCCGUCUUAACUACUCCAGCUAUGAUCAUGAUGCCUUUAACUACCACUAACUUCAUCACUACCUUCCUAACUGCACUAUUAAUCCCUUUCAGUGUCAGGACGCGUUAUCAUAUUCUUAACCAGCAAUCCUAACUACUAUUUCUAUUAUUUUUAUACUUCAUUAACUUCCACUGUCACUUUCUUAACUGCCACUGUAGCCAUUGCAACUGUCUUUCACUAUCUUCGUAACUGCUUUCAUAAUUAACUCUCCAACUACCUUCCUAACUCUCCUACCUUUCCAUGCAACCGUCUCACUUUCUACCUCUGUUUCCUGUGUCACUAAACCACUAAGACAUUUCCUUUACUUAUACAACCAAACCUCCUUACAUUGCGCCAUUACUCUCUACACACUUUUAUUUUCAUUUGACUCUCCCAUUUUCUCUCUCGUUGUUUCCUGUCACUAAACCACUAAGACAUUUCCUCUUCUUAUACAUCCAAGCUUCCUUUCAGUGCCUCAUUACUUUCUUAACUAAUUCUCUAGACACGUUUCUUUUCAUUUGACUCUUCCAUUUUCUCUCUCAUUGUUCCCUAUGUCACUAAACCACUAAGAUAUUUUCUCUUCUUACACCUCUAAACUUUCUUUCAAUGCCUCAUUAUUUUCUUAACUGAUUCUCUAGACACUUUUCUAACUUUGCUUUCUUCCUACUUAAACCUUCUCACUUUCUGGUUCAUUGUUUCCUGUGUCACUAACCAUUAAAACAAUUUCUCUCCUUAUGUGACUAAAUCUCCUUAAAUCUCACCAUUACUUUCUCUUUUAACUCUCUAAUCCUUUUCCCUAACGCUAUUAUCUUUUCAUUUGACUCCUGUUUCCUAUCCCAUUGUUUCCUGUUACUUACCAUUAAAACAUUUCCUCUCCUAAUGGAAUCAAAUCUCCUUAAUCCCUUCAGUACUGGGACACAUUUUUACCUUGAGAUUUGUGUACAUUUUAUUGACAUCAAGAAGGGUCUAUGGAGGUAAAAGAUUAAUGGCCAGGUUCUUCACUAUUUUAAUCCCACACACGAGUUUCUGAAGCUGUAUAAAAUCACCAAAUGAUAAGCAGAAUUAAUAUGAAAUCGCGUUAAAUCACAGUGACUAGAAACGGCAAAAAUCUCUUCCUUGUACAUUUCUUCUUCCCUUUUUACAUCUUUCCUUCUCGUAGGUGGUAAUAAAGAGUCCACACAUUGUCACACUAAAAGGGUUGACCGUCUCCGUGAGCUCCACCUUGUUAUGCCUCUCUCUUAUUUCCCUCAGUCGUGGCACGCUAGCUGAGUGUCACCAGGCAACAGUGUCACUCAUCCUUCGCUGCACGUGUGAAAGAUUGGCUAGUGUGAAGGGAUUAACAUUUUCUGACUUAAACCGAGAGGCAUUUGUACUGAAAACUAGAGGAGAGAUUAAAAUUUUUCAAUGUUUUCUUCCUUAAUCCCUUCAGUACCAUGACGCGUUUUCAUAUUCAUUCUGGUUACUAUUUGGUGAUUUUAUACAGCUUCAGAUACUUAUGUGGGGAUUAAAAUAGUGAAGAUUCUGGCCAUUAAUCUUGUGACCUCCUUAGACCCUUCUUAAUGUCAAUAAAAUGGCUUGAUCGUACACAAAUCUCAAGGUAAAAAAUGUGUCCCAGUGUUGAAGGGUUUAAUCGUCACGUGUGUUGAUGUCAUGAAAUAAACAGUAACUUUG